rnacentral:rRNA from 1 species
UAAUUCCCGUUGAUCCUGCGGGAGAUUGCUGCUAUUGGGAUCCGAAUUAGCCAUGCAAGUCAGGGACUCUUCGGAGGACCGGCAUAAGGCUCAGUAACACGUCGAUAAUCUGCCCUCGGGUCGAGGAUAACUUCGGGAAACUGAAGCUAAUACUCGAUAGGAGAACAUUACUGGAAGGUGUGUUCUCUGAAACGUAAGGCCCGAGGAUGAGUCGGCGGCUGAUUAGGCUGUUGGUGAGGUAAUGGCUCACCAAACCUAUGAUCAGUAGGGGAGAUGAGAGUCUUGGCCCCGAGAAGGACACUGAGAUACUUGUCCUAGUCCUAAGGGAUGCAGCAGGCACGAAACCUUUACAAUGCACGAAAGUGUGAUAAGGGGAUCCCAAGUGCUCUGUCAAUGACAGGGCUUUUUCCAAGUGUAAAAAGCUUGGAGAAUAAGUGGUGGGCAAGACCGGUGCCAGCCGCCGCGGUAACACCGGCGCCACAAGUGGCAAUCGCGAUUAUUGGGUCUAAAGCGUCCGUAGCCGGUUUAAUAAAUUUCUUGUGAAAUUGUUAGGCUUAACCUAACAGCGAGCAAGAAAGACUGUUAAACUUGGGACCGGGAGGAGAUAGAGGUAUUCUAGGGGGAGCGGUAAAAUGCUAUAAUCCCUAGAGGACCACCGAUGGCGAAGGCAUCUAUCUAGAACGGGUCCGACGGUGAGGGACGAAAGCUGGGGGAGCAAAACGGAUUAGAUACCCGAGUAGUCCCAGCUGUAAACUCUGCGAGCAGGGUGGUGCAUAUUCUUCGGGAAUGUGCAGAGCCCAAGCGAAGGCGUUAAGCUCGCCACCCGGGAAGUAUAGUCGCAAGGCCGAAACUUAAAGGAAUUGGCGGGGGCUCGCUACAAGGGGUGCGGCGUGCGGUUUAAUCUAACUAUACACAGAGAAUCUCACCAGGAGCGACGGCAGGAUGAAGGUCAGAUUGAAGGUUUUACCUGACAAGCCGAGAGGUGGUGCAUGGCCGUCGUCAGUUCGUGUCGUGAGAUGUUGCGUUAAGUCGUACAACGAACGAGACCCGUGCUCACAUUUGCUAAUGCCUUCUCCGGAAGGAGCAAGCACAAUGUGAGGACUGCCUUGGAAACAGGGAGGAAGGUGCGGGCAACGAUAGGUCUGUAUGCCCCGAAUCUCCUGGGCUACACGCGCGCAACAAUGGCGGAGACAAUGGGAUGCAACUCCGAGAGGAGAAGCAAAACCUCUAAACUCCGUCUUAGUCUAGAUUGAGGUUUGUAACUCAACCUCAUGACAAUGGAAUCCCUAGUAAUCGGAUGUCAUCAGCGUCCGGUGAACACGUCCACGAGCCUUGUACACACUGCCCGUCAUCCCAACCGAGUCGGGCUUUGGUGAGGUUCAUCUUUCUUGGAUGAAUCGAACCUGGGUCUGGUGAGGCGGGGCAAGUCGUCACAAGGUAUCCGUAGGGGAACCUGCGGAUGGAUCACCUCCUAAU